GGCGUGGAUAAGACAUGCAAGUCGAACGCUGAUUUGUCGGUAGCAAUAUUGGCAAGUCGGAGUGGCGCAAGGGUGCGUAACACGUGGGUAAUCUGCCGUGAAGCCCGGGAUAACUCGCUGAAAGGCGAGCUAAUACCGGAUGUGAAUUUUUGGGGGCCUCCUCUGGAAUUCAAAGCUGGGGACCGCAAGGCCUGGCACUUCACGAUGAGCCCGCGGCCUAUCAGCUAGUUGGUGAGGUAACGGCUCACCAAGGCUUAGACGGGUAGCUGGUCUGAGAGGACGACCAGCCACACUGGAACUGAGACACGGUCCAGACACCUACGGGUGGCAGCAGUCGAGAAUUUUUCUCAAUGGGCGAAAGCCUGAAGGAGCGACGCCGCGUGGGGGAUGAAUGGCUUCGGCCCGUAAAGCCCUGUCAUUUGCGAACAAAUUAUUUUACCUAACA
rnacentral:rRNA from 1 species